AGUUGCCUCACAAUGGGCAAAGAUAUCUUGUCAGUUGUGGUGUUCUUAUGUCAGUCAGGAGCAGAGCAGAUGGCAAUCCUUUGUUCAUCCCAGAUUGAUGUCUGAUUUGGUGGCCAAAUCUGUUUUAUGCCUGGGACUCAUAA